rnacentral:misc_RNA from 1 species
GAUGAAGAACGCAGCGAAAUGCGAUAAGUAAUGUGAAUAGCAGAAUUCAGUGAAUCAUCGAAUCUUUGAACGCACAUUGCGCCCCCUGGCAUUCCGGGGGGCAUGCCUGUUCGAGCGUCAUUACAACCCUCAAGCUCUGCUUGGUAUUGGGCUCUGCUGGGACCGGCAGGCCUUAAAAUCAGUGGCGGCGCCACUCGGCUUCAAGCGUAGUAAUUCUUCUCGCUUCGGAGACCCGGGUGCGUGCUAGCCAGCAACCCCCAACUUUCUUAGGUUGACCUCGGAUCAGGUAGGGAUACCCGCUGAACUUAAGCAUAUCAAUAAGCGGAGGA